GGUCUUAUAUUCAAUUAAUGAUAAUAGAAUGCAAUUCUAUAGGAGUAAAUUAAAUUUACUAAGACUU
rnacentral:tRNA from 1 species